rnacentral:lncRNA from 1 species
GGAUUGGGAUAUUCCGACUCCUUAAGGGCCUGGCGCACAUAAGGUGUGACCUUUUCAUUCCCGUUGUUAUGGAGGUAGGCUCUCUAGGAAUCUGGGAGUAGUAGCUGGGGGGCAAGAGCAAAUAAAGAGCUCGAGCUUCUGUGGUCUCUGGGGAGAUGUUCCCGGGAAGCCUGUCUAGAGGGCGGAGGGCAGCUGUUGAGAUGGCGUGGCUCCCCGGCUCCUGCGCCCGCGUGGCUUUCGCGGCGGGCGCUGCGGCCCGGUAUUGGACAGCCUGGCAGGGCAGCGCGGGGCCGAAUCCGGCUGCCGUGGCUGAGGCUCAUGGAUCACUCUUUUGUGGUAGGGCCACAUCUGCCAGAGCCUGGAGUCUGCGAAGGCCGGGACCCGGUUCCCCGGCCCACAGUGGGGGUGUGCAAACCCGAGAGAACUGGAUUGCGUACCCACUGCAGAGUGCUGAAGACGGGGUAGCCACGAGGUUGCAAAUUCGUGAAGAAUCAGCAUCAUGUUUGGCAGCUGAGUAUUGGAGCCAGGAGCCUGCCAUGAGGUUAUAUUCCCAGAGGAUGUCAGUCCCAAGGACCAGUAGCUGCCAUCAGUUUGGAUUCUGAAAACUAACUGGCAUCAACACUGGGUGUAGAAACAUGCUUGCCUUAUGUAUCAGAGGACAUGCUCAGCAGAUCCAAGAGAUAUAUUUGGCAACUUUUUCUAGAAAAGGCACAUUGGGUAUCAUUCAUUACAUUCUUGAGUUUUUUUGGGUUUUUUUUUUUUUUUUUGAGACAGUCUUGCUGUAUUGCCCAGGCUGGAGUGUGGUGGCACAAUCACAGCUCAUUGCAUCCUCAAUCACCCAGGCCUAAGCAAUCCUCCCACCUUGUAGCUGGGACUACAGCUCACAGCACACCUGGCUAAAAUUUUUUUUUUGUUGAGACGGAUUCUCUAUGUUGCCCAGGCUGGUCUCAGGCUCCUGGGCUCAGAUGGUCCUCCUGCCUCAGCUUCCAAAGGCACAGGCCAAGUUGUAGCUUUGUCCCUUGCCAUCAUGCCCAACAAGAGGUUCUAUACCUUUUAAUGAAUUGACUUUCAUAAAUUGGUUAUGUUGGUGGGCAAAGUUCUUUAAGCUGGAAAUUGUAAAUUCCUCCUGAAAUGUUUUUUCAUGCAGUUACCAUGAACUAAUACUACAAUAAAGGAUGGUCUUGGGUGUCAAUUCUUGAAAA